UACGUAGGGUGCAAGCGUUGUCCGGAAUUAUUGGGCGUAAAGAGCUCGUAGGCGGUCUGUCGCGUCGGAUGUGAAAACCCAGGGCUCAACCCUGGGCCUGCAUUCGAUACGGGCAGACUAGAGUUCGGUAGGGGAGACUGGAAUUCCUGGUGUAGCGGUGAAAUGCGCAGAUAUCAGGAGGAACACCGAUGGCGAAGGCAGCUCGCUGGGACGGUACUGACGCUGAGGCGCGAAAGCGUGGGGAGCAAACAGG
rnacentral:rRNA from 1 species